rnacentral:rRNA from 1 species
UUGAACGCUGGCGGCAUGCCUUACACAUGCAAGUCGAACGGCAGCACGGACUUCGGUCUGGUGGCGAGUGGCGAACGGGUGAGUAAUAUAUCGGAACAUACCCAGUAGUGGGGGAUAACUAUCCGAAAGGAUAGCUAAUACCGCAUACGAUCUGUGGAUGAAAGCAGGGGAUCUUCGGACCUUGUGCUAUUGGAAUGGCCGAUAUCUGAUUAGCUAGUUGGUAGGGUAAAAGCCUACCAAGGCGACGAUCAGUAGCUGGUCUGAGAGGACGACCAGCCACACUGGAACUGAGACACGGUCCAGACUCCUACGGGAGGCAGCAGUGGGGAAUUUUGGGCAAUGGGGGCAACCCUGAUCCAGCAAUGCCGCGUGAGUGAAGAAGGCCCUCGGGUUGUAAAGCUCUUUUGUCAGGGAAGAAACGGAGUUCUCUAAUAUAGGAUUCUAAUGACGGUACCUGAAGAAUAAGCACCGGCUAACUACGUGCCAGCAGCCGCGGUAAUACGUAGGGUGCAAGCGUUAAUCGGAAUUACUGGGCGUAAAGCGUGCGCAGGCGGUUUUGUAAGUCUGAUGUGAAAUCCCCGGGCUCAACCUGGGAACUGCAUUGGAGACUGCAAGGCUAGAGUGUGUCAGAGGGGGGUAGAAUUCCCACGUGUAGCAGUGAAAUGCGUAGAGAUGUGGAGGAAUACCGAUGGCGAAGGCAGCCCCCUGGGAUAACACUGACGCUCAUGCACGAAAGCGUGGGGAGCAAACAGGAUUAGAUACCCUGGUAGUCCACGCCCUAAACGAUGUCUACUAGUUGUCGGGACUUAAUUGUCUUGGUAACGCAGCUAACGCGUGAAGUAGACCGCCUGGGGAGUACGGUCGCAAGAUUAAAACUCAAAGGAAUUGACGGGGACCCGCACAAGCGGUGGAUGAUGUGGAUUAAUUCGAUGCAACGCGAAAAACCUUACCUACCCUUGACAUGGCAGGAAUCCCGAAGAGAUUUGGGAGUGCUCGCAAGAGAACCUGCACACAGGUGCUGCAUGGCUGUCGUCAGCUCGUGUCGUGAGAUGUUGGGUUAAGUCCCGCAACGAGCGCAACCCUUGUCAUUAGUUGCUACGAAAGGGCACUCUAAUGAGACUGCCGGUGACAAACCGGAGGAAGGUGGGGAUGACGUCAAGUCCUCAUGGCCCUUAUGGGUAGGGCUUCACACGUCAUACAAUGGUACAUACAGAGGGCCGCCAACCCGCGAGGGGGAGCUAAUCCCAGAAAGUGUAUCGUAGUCCGGAUUGUAGUCUGCAACUCGACUACAUGAAGUUGGAAUCGCUAGUAAUCGCGGAUCAGCAUGUCGCGGUGAAUACGUUCCCGGGUCUUGUACACACCGCC